CUGCAUUGGGAACAUGUCUGGAUGUAAACAUUUCACUUCUGAUAGAGACAACACGAUCUCGCUCUCUUCAUCCAGACCAUUUUACAGUCUGUGUCUCCAUGCUUUCAAUACAGACAGAAACUGAGUGGAUGGUGUGACUAUAGAGGAAAUCCCUGUUUGAACAAAAUUUCUGAGGCACAUCAUAGGAAUCCCACUGGGAAGACUGAGUCAUCAGGACCUGAAUGGAGCUGCAAAAGGAAUGACAGCUGAGGUUCAGCCUUGAGAGAAAGAAUAAAAGAUGAGCUACAAAGGUAGUUCGUUCUAUGACAUUUCUGAGUGCUUUCCUUCUUUGAAGUACCUGGAUUUUGCUUUAGGAUAUAUCCCAGUAAAAAAG